rnacentral:lncRNA from 1 species
AUAAAAGAAAUCCCAAAAGAUAACCCUAGCCGCUGGCUGUUGGAUUCAAAAGGUAGGGAUUGGGAACACAAAACAGCACUUAAUAGAAACUAAUACCAAUAAAACAAAAGUUAAUGACCACUAAAAAAUCUAAACGUUCACUUAAUGGGGGGUUUUAAAAGUCUGCUAAAAAAAAGAAUAAAUAAAAAAAAAAAGGAAAAAACAAAUGAGGAUGCAGACGAAACCUAAACCCAUCGUCCUCCUUCCCAAACUCGAACUCAGAAAUUUCUCUAACUCAUAACUCUCUCAAACGAAACCUCUCUC